GACGAACGCUGGCGGCGUGCUUAACACAUGCAAGUCGAACGGAAAGGCCCUGCUUUUGUGGCGUGCUCGAGUGGCGAACGGGUGAGUAACACGUGAGUAACCUGCCCUUGACUUUGGGAUAACUUCAGGAAACUGGGGCUAAUACAGGAUAGGAGCUCCUGCUGCACGGUGUGGGUUGGAAAGUUUCGGCGGUUGGGGAUGGACUCGCGGCUCAUCAGCUUGUUGGUGGGGUAGUGGCUUACCAAGGCUUUGACGGGUAGCCGGCCUGAGAGGGUGACCGGCCACAUUGGGACUGAGGGACGGCCCAGACGCCUACGGGAGGCAGCAGUGGGGAAUAUUGCGGAAUGGGCGGAAGCCUGAUGCAGCAACGCCGCGUGCGGGAUGACGGCCUUCGGGUUGUAAACCGCUUUCGCCUGUGACGAAGCGUGAGUGACGGUAAUGGGUAAAGAAGCACCGGCUAACUACGUG
rnacentral:rRNA from 1 species